ACACACACACACACACACACCACACACACUCUGCUUUAGUGGUUCCAUAAAAAAUACUUAUCUUACCAUCGUCAUAUCUCUUUUUUUUUUUUUUUUUCAAUAUCUUGCUUGCACGAAUUUCUUUCCAGUAAAUCAUUGCCAAUACUCUGCCUCUGACUGCCCAAUAAACUGAUAAAGGUGUCGAAAUGUGAGUCGUUGGUGAGGGACGUGUGUAAUGGAACGGGGCAGGGUUGGGGAAAAAACUCACGAUAUACUUUGCGAGCAGCGAGGAUCAUGUUUCUUAAUGGUCCCUCCAAGCGAGAAAAAUGAGAAAAAAAUCAUCACUCACACAAACCAUUUCGUAAUAUAUAUCAAAGCAUUUGUGAUCAGUUUAUGCAUCAUCUAUUUUUGGGGGGUUUAUAUCACGGCACAAAUUUGCCCCGUCGCUGCUACACGGUAAAGCCACAAAUUUGCCCCGUCGCUGCUACACGGUAAAGCCACAAAUUUGUCCCGUCGCUGCUACACGGUAAAGCCACAAAUUUGUCCCGUCGCUGCUACACGGUAAAGCCACAAAUUUGUCCCGUCGCUGCUACACGGUAAAGCCACAAAUUUGUCCCGUCGCAGCUACACGGUAAAGCCACAAAUUUGUCCCGUCGCAGCUACACGGUAAAGCCACAAAUUUGUCCCGUCGCUGCAACACGGUAAAGCCACAAAUUUGUCCCGUCGCUGCUACACGGUAAAGCCACAAAUUUGUCCCGUCGCUGCAACACGGUAAAGCCACAAAUUUGGCCCGUCGCUGCUACACGGUAAAGCCACAAAUUUGUCCCGUCGCUGCAACACGGUAAAGCCACAAAUUUGUCCCGUCGCUGCUACACGGUAAAGCCACAAAUUUGUCCCGUCGCUGCUACACGGUAAAGCCACAAAUUUGUCCCGUCGCUGCAACACGGUAAAGUCACAAAUUUGUCCCGUCGCUGCUACACGGUAAAGCCACAAAUUUGUCCCGUCGCGGGUACACGGUAAAGCCACAAAUUUGGCCCGUCGCUGCUACACGGUAAAGCCACAAAUUUGGCCCGUCGCUGCUACACGGUAAAGCCACAAAUUUGGCCCGUCGCUGCUACACGGUAAAGCCACAAAUUUGUCCCGUCGCUGGAACACGGUAAAGCCACAAAUUUGUCCCGUCGCUGCUACCGGGUUAAAUCGAUUCAAAUCACAUGUUUUAGAUCACUGGGAAGAGGCGCUAGGGCCCCAAAACACACUCAGAUUUACGCCCAACCUCUGCAUCAGUUCCCGCGCGCUCUCUCCCCCAAAACUGAGGUCCCCCGCCAAGCUAUCGGCCAUAAAGACGCCAGCCACUUCACACACUCACGAGGGAGGAGGCGGAAAACGUUGCAUCUGGUGAUAUACGCGGUGGCAGACCCAAGUACGAGGAACGGUAUGUGUCACGGGUCUCGGCGGAUAUCAUGAUCUGUAUAACGCAUCUUCGCCUUAAAUUCUACGCUCGCUAACGAUAUCUACUUAUAGCGCAGUGAAGAAAGCGAGACAGUUGUGAUUUGCUCUUGACACUUUCACAAAUAUACUUUAAGUUUAAGGGCUAACGACGUGCCACGGAUAUUGGGUUGAAAUGUAACGCAUCUUCGACAAAAAUCUUACAUUCUCUACUGCGAAGUGAAGCAAAGGAGUUAUUUAUUUUAUACUUUCUCUCGACGUGUGCAAGUACUAGCGAGAUCUUGGGUUGAAAUCAUGAUCUUGUAUCGCAUCUUCGACAAAAAUCUUACAUCCUCUACUGCGAAGUGAAGCAAAGGAGUUAUUUAUUUUAUACUUUCUCUCUCUCGACGUGUGCAAGUACUAGCGAUAUCUUGGGUUGAAAUCAUGAUCUUGUAACGCAUCUUCGACAAAAAACUUACAUUCUCUACUGCGAAGUGAAGCAAAGGAGUUAUUUAUUUUAUACUUUCUCUCGACGUGUGCAAGUACUAGCGAGAUCUUGGGUUGAAAUCAUGAUCUUGUGACGCAUCUUCGACAAAAAUCUUACAUUCUCUACUGCGAAGCGAAGGAAAGGAGGUAGGCUAUUUAUGAUCUACUCUCGCCCUUCUCUCUCAUGAAUAUAAUCUUUGACCUAACGACGUAUGCAAGUACUAGCGAUGUGUCACAGGUCUUGGGUUGAAAUCAUGAUCUUGUAACGCAUCUUCGCUAUAUAUCUUGCGCUUUAUAAUGAUACUUUUGCGAAGCGGAAUAAAAGAGACAUAUAUGAUUUACUCUCGCUGUCUUCACGCAUAAAACUUUAGUACGAGCGAGGUGUCAGAGGUCUUGGGUUGAAAUCACGAUCUUGUAACGCAUCUUCGCUAUAUAUCUUACGCUUUAUAAUGAUACUUUUGCGAAGCGGAGUAAAAGAGACAUAUAUGUUUUACUCUCGCUGUCUUCACGCAUAAAACUUUAGUACUAACGAUAUGUCACGGAUCUUGGGUUGAGAUCAUAAUCUUGUAAGGCAUCUUCGCUAUAUAUCUUACACUUUAUAAUGAUACUUUUGCGAAGCGGAGUAAAAGAGACAUAUAUGAUUUACUCUCGCUGUCUUCACGCAUAAAACUUUAGUACGAGCGAGGUGUCACAGGUCUUGGGUGGAAAAUUAAUCAUGAUCCUGAAAAACAGCCUUGCCAUAAAUCAUUCUACUUUUGGUGAUGAUGUUCACUUUUAGCGCAGCGAAGUAAACGAGCUCUCUGUGAUAUGCUUUUGCCAGCCGUGUUUCCCUUUAUGAGUUUUUUAGCACAAGCGAUGCGUCACAGAUCUUGGGUGGAAAUCAUGUUCUUGAAAUGUAUCUCUGCCGUAAAUACGCUGAGAUUUCGACGGAGAGUUACUUUUGGUGCAGCGGAAUAUACAAGACAUUGGUGAUUUACUCUCCGCGUUUCCCUCAUCGAAUAGAUUUUAGAGUUAACGACGCGUAACGGAUUUUAAGUUUCAUUUGUGGCGUAAACUUUCAAUUAAAUAUUCUGAUUAAGUCUUUCAGGAAUGCCAGUAUAUAAAAGUAAUGACUACCCUCUGCUACAGUUCAGUCAGUCAGUCAGUUGCUCAGUCAGUUGACCUCUCGUUCGGCCACCUCUUUUGAUUCUUUUUUAGGAGCAGCGAGUAGCGGGCUUUUUUUUAUUAUUGUUUCCUUUUUUUGUGCCCUUGAGCUGCCUCCUUUGUUGUAAAAAAGAAAAAAAAACAGAAAAAAAACAGGAAGCAUGAGGAAUAAUAUUAGUGAGUCAAUUAACCAGUCAGUCAAUCAAGUUAUUCGGUCAGUCACUCAAUCAGUCAAUUCACGUUAAAGAUGAGGAGCCAUAUCAGUCAUCAAGAUAAUCAGUCACUCAGUCGCUCACUCAUUCAGGUCACGGAAAACGAGGAAAAAUAUAAGCCACUUCUGUUUUCCUCUCUCUCUCUCUCUCUCUCUCUCUCUCUCUCUCUCUCUCUCUCUCUCUCUCUCUCUCUCUCUCUCUCUCUUCAGAACUACUACUACUACUACUACUACUACUACUACUACUGCUACGCCACACACACAACACUACAGGCUGAUCUCACUUUUAAUCUACGAGGUAACAGCAGACACCUGAACAUGCCAGUAGUACCACGAAAUAGGAGAUGCAGGGCUGAGAUCAUGCUUGUUUCUAAAUUAACGAAGGUAAAAGAAAGACCGAGGAACUUAGGAGAAAGGAAACAGUGGGAAGAGGAAGGGAGAGUAGAGAAGAGGAGGAGGCGAGGAGGAUACGAUAUUUGAGAAGAGGAGGAGGCGAGGAGGAUACGAUAUUUGAGAAGAGGAGAUGAAUGGAGAGGUGGGAUAGGAAAAACGAGAAGAGAAGAGAGGAUUAUAAGAGUAGGGGGGAGAGGAAAAGAGAAGAGAGGAGACGAAUAGAAGAGGAGAGAUGAUGAAAAGAGAGGAAAGAAACAUACAAUAGAAAAUAAAGAAAAAAAGGAAAGGAGAAAAGAGGAAAAGGAAGGAGAAAAGAAAAUUAAUAUAAGAAAACAAGGAAGAGAGAGAGAGAGAGAGAGAGAGAGAGAGAGAGAGAGAGAGAGAGAGAGAGAGAGAGAGAGAGAGAGAGAGAGAGAGAGAGAGAGAGAGAGAGAAACGACCCUACAGCAGGAUAUGAUUGUGAAAGUGAUACGAGAGAGAGAGAGAGAGAGAGAGAGAGAGAGAGAGAGAGAGAGAGAGAGAGAGAGAGAGAGAGAGAGAGAGAGAGAGAGAGAGAGAGAGAGAGAGAGAGAGAGUGUUCCGUGAUGUGAGAGAUAAGAUUAGAUUCCCACACAUUCUCAAAGAUAUUUUCACUCCUCUUCCUCCUCUUCUUCUUCUUCCUCCUCCUCCCCCCCCCCCCCCUCAACCGUGAUUUCUUUCUCUUCUCUCUCUUGCUCUUCCGUGACCUUGGCGCCGCGCUGCGUAACACAACAUAGGAGAGACGCGGAGAGCCAUUCAUGAGGUAGGUAUUUCCAGCACCGUUGCCAGAUUAUCGUACUCAGAGCCUCGUGACAUAACAUAGGAGAGACGCGGAGAUCCAUUCAUGAGGUAGGCAUUCUCAGCACCGUUGUCAGAUUAUCGUACUCAGAGCCUCGUGACAUAACAUAGGAGAGACGCGGAGGGCCAUUCAUGAGAUAGGUAUUCUCAGCACGGUUGUCAGAUUAUCGUACUCAGAGCCUCGUAACAUAACAUAGGAGAGACGCGGAGGGCCAUUCAUGAGGUAGGUAUUCUCAGCACCGUUGCCAGAAGGGUCAAACUACCAGUAGGAUCAUAUAACUACCCCUGAGAAUGCCCCAGACUCAUACGAAAGCCUUAUCAAAUGGUUGUUUUUAGGUCCGUGGUACAGAAGAAGGGUCAAACUACCAAUAGGAUCAUAUAACUACCCCUGAGAAUGCCCCAAACUCCUACGAAAGCCUUGUCAAAUGGUUGUUUUUUAGGUCCGUGGUACAGAAGAAGGGUCAAACUACCAAUAGGAUCAUAUAACUACCCCAGAGAAUGCCCCAAACUCCUACGAAAGCCUUGUCAAAUGGUUGUUUUUUUAGGUCCAUGGUACUGAAGAAGGGUCAAACUACCAGUAGGAUCAUAUAACUACCCCUGAGAAUGCCCCAAACUCCUACGAAAGCCUUGUCAAAUGAUUGUUUUUUAGGUGCGUGGUACAGAAGAAGGGUCAAACUACCAGCAGGAUCAUAUAACUACCCCUGAGAAUGCCCCAAACUCCUACGAAUGCCUUGUCAAAUGAUUGUUUUUUAGGUCCGUGGUACAGAAGAAGGGUCAAACUACCAGCAGGAUCAUACAACUACCCCUGAGAAUGCCCCAAACUCCUACGAAAGCCUUAUCAAAUGGUUGUUUUUUAGGUCCGUGGUAUGGAAGAAGGGUCAAACUACCAGCAGGGUCAUAUAACUACCCCGGAGAAUGCCCCAAAAUCCUACGAAAACCGAAAUGAUUAGAAAUAUGGACCCUGGAACUAACCCUACCCCAAGCACUCAAGGCCACAUAGCUGCAAGGAUUAGCGAGGCGCCGGAGAGCCGAAGACGAGAAGUUCGAAGACUCACGCCGGAGCUCUGACGCCCAUGGUCCCGCAGCCUCACACAACAGAUAUGACCAAAAGUCCACAAAGGAGGUUAGUAGCGUUCUCAUGAGUGUUUAUCACGUUCAUGGUGCAGCAGUCUUUGUCAAACUAUCACUUGGCUCAUAAAACUACCCGUGGAAAUACCCACAGCAGCCUCGACGAAGGACUUAACAAAUGUGGGCAGGUUUGCGCAAGCCGCGAUAUGUUUGUGACUACAGGUUUCAUAGACUUCGGAGCUCACACACAUGCCCGCACUUGUUAUGCCUUUCGUUGAAGUUGUUGUAUUAGUAUUAUUUCCAUCAUCGGCAGACUUAUGAGCCUGGCGCCUGUUUGACAAGGCUUCUUCAUCAUAAACGUGACACAGCACUCAUGAGAAGCCGACUGAUCUCUAUUGUGGCCUUGAGAAGUCGCUGUUUUGAAAGCCGAGAGCGUCUGUAUUUUCAUCACCGGUAAUUUUACGAGCCUAGCGCCAGUUUGACAAGGCUUUUCCACCCUAAACGUGACAAAGCCCCCAUGAGAACCCGACUGAUCUCUAUUGUGGCCUUGAGAAGUCGCUGUUUUGAAAGCCGAGAACGUCUGGGUGUACGGGCCUUUUGCGGGUUCCUAAUAACUGUCACCUCGAGGAAUUUAUUGUUUCAGGGCCGAGCGUGUGAAUGGUGACAGCAGGCUCAUAUCGAUGGCGUCGUGUGUUGCCCGUUGCGCAAGACGUCGGUUUGAACAAGAUCAGAAAAGGGAUUAAGAUGAAUGGAUGGAAGUAAGGAAGAAGAGAAAAUGAGGAAGAUGAUGAAAAAGAAGGAGAAGAAGGAAGGGGAGGAGAAAGCGGAGGAGAAAAGGAGGAAGAUAAUGAAAAUGGAAGGAGGAGGAAAAAGGGGAAGGACGAGGAAGAGGAUGAACGAAGGAGAGCAACGGAGGAUAAAUAAAAGGAGGAGGAGGAGAGGAGAAAGAUAAAGAAAACAAGACCAAAAGGGAAAAGGUGGAUAAAGGGAAGCGAAGGAAACGAAAGGAUGAUAAACAGAAGGAAAGGGAGGAGGAGGAGAUUGAAAAGGUCACGGCUGGAAAGAAAGAGUGAAUAGAAUGAUGAAGAAGGAAAAAAAAGAGGCUGAAUAAAUAAUGAACGAAGGAGACCAAGGAAUGAUACACAGGAGGAGGAGGAGGAGGAGGAGGAGAAAAGGAGAGAGAGAGAGAGAGAGAGAGAGAGAGAGAGAGAGAGAGAGAGAGAGAGAGAGAGAGAGAGAGAGAGAUUGAUUGACUGAUUGGCCUCAAGCUUGUAGUUACAUAGAUUUUACACAUUGUCUUUAAGAGCCACUGGUCCACUGAGCCGUAGCCGUAGAGAGAGAGAGAGAGAGAGAGAGAGAGAGAGAGAGAGAGAGAGAGAGAGAGAGAGAGAGAGAGA